GACGAACGCUGGCGGCGUGCUUAACACAUGCAAGUCGAACGAGGUCCAGCCGGUGGCAACACCGGGGAAGACCUAGUGGCGAACGGGUGAGUAACACGUGAGCAACCUGCCCCGGAGACCGGGAUAACACCGGGAAACCGGUGCUAAUACCGGAUGCCCUCACCGGACCGCAUGGCCCGGUGAGGAAAGGGGUUUCCGCUCCGGGAGGGGCUCGCGGCCUAUCAGCUUGUUGGUGGGGUAACGGCUCACCAAGGCUACGACGGGUAGCUGGUCUGAG
rnacentral:rRNA from 1 species